rfam:Ascaris suum AG00250, whole genome shotgun sequence.
GGUCUCGUGGUGUAGCGGUUAUCACGCCUGCUUCACACGCAGGGGUCGUCUGGUCAAUCCCGGCCGAGAUCA